rnacentral:rRNA from 1 species
CCCUAUGCUGCCGAGAAAAGCCUCUAGCGAGCUGGUACAUGGCCCGUACCCCAAACCGACACAGGUGGUCAGGUAGAGAAUACUAAGGCGAUCGAGAGAACUGUGGUUAAGGAACUCGGCAAAAUGCCCCCGUAACUUCGGGAGAAGGGGGACCAGUCCUGGUGACGACAUUUACUGUCUGAGCUGGGGUUGGUCGCAGAGACCAGAGAGAAGCGACUGUUUACUAAAAACACAGGUCCGUGCGAAGUCGUAAGACGAUGUAUACGGACUGACGCCUGCCCGGUGCUGGAAGGUUAAGAGGACCGGUCAGCCACUUCGGUGGCGAAGCUGAGAAUUUAAGCCCCAGUAAACGGCGGUGGUAACUAUAACCAUCCUAAGGUAGCGAAAUUCCUUGUCGGGUAAGUUCCGACCUGCACGAAUGGCGUAACGACUUCUCUGCUGUCUCAACCACAGACUCGGCGAAAUUGCAGUACGAGUAAAGAUGCUCGUUACGCGCGGCAGGACGAAAAGACCCCGGGACCUUCACUAUAGCUUGGUAUUGGUGUUCGGUUCGGUUUGUGUAGGAUAGGUGGGAGACUGUGAAACUCGCACGCCAGUGUGGGUGGAGUCAUUGUUGAAAUACCACUCUGACCGUAUUGGACAUCUAACCUCGGACCAUGAUCUGGUUCAGGGACAGUGCCUGGUGGGUAGUUUAACUGGGGCGGUUGCCUCCUAAAAAGUAACGGAGGCGCCCAAAGGUUCCCUCAGCCUGGUUGGCAAUCAGGUGUUGAGUGUAGGUGCACAAGGGAGCUUGACUGUGAGACGUACAUGUCGAGCAGGGACGAAAGUCGGGACUAGUGAUCCGGCACCGGCAAGUGGAAGCGGUGUCGCUCAACGGAUAAAAGGUACCCCGGGGAUAACAGGCUGAUCUUCCCCAAGAGUCCAUAUCGACGGGAUGGUUUGGCACCUCGAUGUCGGCUCGUCGCAUCCUGGGGCUGGAGUAGGUCCCAAGGGUUGGGCUGUUCGCCCAUUAAAGCGGCACGCGAGCUGGGUUUAGAACGUCGUGAGACAGUUCGGUCUCUAUCCGCCGCGCGCGUAAGAAACUUGAGGAAACCUGUCCCUAGUACGAGAGGACCGGGACGGACGAACCUCUGGUGUGCCAGUUGUUCCACCAGGAGCACCGCUGGUUAGCUACGUUCGGAAGGGAUAACCGCUGAAAGCAUCUAAGCGGGAAGCCUGUUCCAAGAUGAGGUUUCUCACCACCUAGCGUGGUUAAGGCCCCCCACAGACCAUGGGGUUGAUAGGCCAGAACUGUAAGCACAGCAAUGUGUUCAGGUGACUGGUACUAAUCGGCCGAGGACUC